ensembl:lncRNA
GCCUGCAUGCCCCGUGUGACAUCCGAACAUCCCCACAGCCUGGCACAGCCUGGCACACUCCUGACCCACUCUUGGUACACCUGGCACACUUCUCACCCACUCCUGACCCACUCCUGGCACACCCUGACCCACCCUGGCACAACCUAACCCACCCUGGCACACUCCUGGCACACCCUGGCACACUCCUGGCACACUCCUGGCACCCCCUGGCACGUUCGUGGCCCAGCGGGCAGUACCUGGAUGUUGAGGCGGCCGCGGUGCGCGCCCAGCCCGUGCCGCUUGUGGCUCGAUGCCCGGAGCUGCUCGUCCAGCACCCGCAGGGACUCCAGCCCCAGGGGGGGACACGCUGGGGACACAGCGGGGACAGCGCUCACACCGCGACCCCCGACUGGCCGGGGCCGUCCCCACCCUGCGUCCCCACCGAGCUGUGCCAUGGGGACAGUGCCAGCCUGGGCUCGACACCGCAACCCCCAGGUGCCCCCAGGUGUCCCCAGGACACGGCCAGCCCCGUGUGCAGGUGACAAUGCCCGUGCCACCCGCACCCAGCGCACGUACGGGGCUCCUGCGGCGCGGCCGGAGCCUCCGGCUUCUUCCUCAGCACCUUCUUCUUCACCACCUUCUUCCUCACCACCUUCCUCCUCCUCACCGCCACCGUGCUCACCGUGGGCGCCGGGGCUGCGAGGGGACACGGGAACAGCCUGGCACCCCGUUUUCCCCCAUGAACCCCCUUUGCACACCCCGUCCCCUCCGGUCCUACCGGUGCCCGCGGGGUCCCCGGGGCUGGCGGGGGCCGCGCUGCCCUUCGGGGGUCCCGUCGUGGUGCUGCUCCCCGAGGGGGCGGCCGCGGUGCCCUUCGUUGGGGACACCCCGCUGGCUUUGGGGGGUCCGGUCGUGGGGCUCUUUCUGGGGGACACCCCGCUGGCGGUGCCCUUGGUUGGGGUCGCCCCGGUGGCUUUGGGGGUCCCGCUGGCGGUGCCCUUGGUUGGGGUCGCCCCGGCGGCUCUGGGGGUCCCGCUGGCCGUGCCCGCCCCGGUGCCGCGGGGCCGGCCGGGCUGUGGGGGCGCGGCGCGGGCGGGGGGCGCCGGGGGUCCCAGCAGGAGCAGCAGCAGCAGCAGCAGCAGCGGGGCGAGGGGCGAUCCCCGCAUGGCCGCGGCCCUGCCGGUCCCUGCCCGCUCCUGCCGCUCCCUGCCCGCUCCUGGGCCCGGUCCCGGCCCCUCCCCGACCCCCGCCCGCUUCCUGCCCCGGACCCCCGCCCUCCUCCUGCCCGCCCCUGCCCGGGACCCCCGGCCGUGCCCUGCCCGCCCCGCCCCGCUAACCGGUCCCGUUCCGCUCUCCCUGACACCGGACCCCUCGAACGGGGGACAGCGGGUCCCGCCCGCUCACCGGCGGGUCUUGUCCUGUGUCCCUGCCGUGUCCCCACCGUGUCCCCGCUGUCGCAUCACCGUGUCCCGCUGUCCCCUCCCUGUAUCCCCGCUGCGCCCAUCGCCGGCCGGGGAGUGGCCCGGGGGUCCGCGGGGGCUCCUCCCGCCGCAGCGGCGGCGUUGCCGGCCGAGCCCGGGGACCCGGGAGGUCCCGGAGCCGCCGGUGCGGGCGGAGCGGG